AGGAGCUAGCCCAUUUUUCAAUUAGAAGAUGGGAGCGGUUCCCGUCUGAACACCGACUAGCGGGCGGUGAUUGGCGGCGGGCUCGACGGCGAGGUCCUUGGCGGAGAAUUCUCAUCGGAUGAUUUCCUCCCCCUGUCCAUCUCUCCCACCCCCCGUCGUCCUCUCGUGCGACUGGGAGGCCAACAGCGGCGGCGGGGACGGAGCGUACAAUGAUUCUGCGCCGGCCACCAAUCCCAAAGCACCGAACCAGAUUUUCCAUGUCCUCGACAGCUGGUUUCGGGCUUCCGGCACAGGGAUGAAGGUCAUGGUCGGUGCCGUACGUCCAGAAGCAAUGCCAUGGCCGCCUACAAUUCCACCCAGGCUGGCUAAUUGCAGGCCUGUUUGAUUUCUGAUCUCUUCCAAUCUGACCUGUUCACACCAUUUUAUACAGCCAUAUUUUAGCUAGGCUCUGAGUGCACCAUCGAUUUGUUUAUCCUCUAUACAUACAUACUACAAGAAGCACCUCUUUAAUUACCAAUUUGCUGGUAGAAUCAUCAAUCUGUUAUUACUUGACAUGAAGUAGCUUUUACAAAUGCUAUAGGUAAUUGCGUGGAAAUUGAUCUGAGAAAUUGUUGUCGAGAUAGGAUUAAAUACUUUAGAAUAGCCGCUCUUUAAGAUUUCUUGAGCUUUACUCUGGGUGCUCAAGUGAAGCAAUUACUUCUCACUGAAGGGUCUGUUCUUUCUUGGACGGGUCAUGUUUCUUCCUAUUUUCUCUUCUGUUCAGAUGUACCUUGGAUUUCUAAAUCAGAAAGAGUGAUGCUCAACAAGAUUCAGGACGUGCUAAGACAUCAACAAUCUAUGCCGACAAGCCUCCACUAUCUACUGCAGAAAUGAAGAACCAUGUUGAUUGCUUAUCCCAAACAUGAUUUUAGGCGAAUAGGACCUGACUAGCUUCUAAAUCUACUGAACUUUUCUGAUCAUGGUGUGAAACUAAUUUUUCUUUUGCUCUUCUAAAGGCCAUCUCACCUUCGCAAUGAUUCAUAUUUUGCCUGAGGAGAUGGCUCAGUUGGAAAUUAUGGUCAGUUUCUUGAUUUUUUAUGCUAAUUCUCUCUCCGUUUGUAAGACGGCUGGUGAUGUUCAGAAUAAUAAGGGAAGUGCCUUGCACCUGAAUAUCAAAUGAAAAGUUGAGCAGCACAUUGUGGUCUGUAUCCUUGCCAUGGUGGCUCGUUGCUGAUACAGGCUUUUAUAUUUGAAUGCUCGCUACUCUCGUCUCUCCCACAUAUAUACAUCUUUCCACAUAGAUGCAAAUUUGGAGCCGCUUAAAUUUGCUUCCCUGUUGUUUUACUUUGCAAUCUGCAGAAAAAGAAAAGAAUCAUAGAUUGUUUGGCCAUAAAGAUCGACAUAAUUAGCAGUUUGUGUGUGGCCUUAGAAGUCUAUAUGUUCAUUAAAUUCUGAAUUACUUGUGCUCGCGUACUUAAUGAGAUGGUUGCUUUGCCUUACGAUCAAAUUUUCAAUUGGUAAUGGUGACUACAGUUGACUGUUUAAGCAACUCAAGUCCCAUGGUGACUACAAAUCAUUAGUGGCCGCUGCACUAGUCUCGUAUAUUCUUCUAUUUUUCAAUGGAAGCAUUCAAUUAUUAUUUUUCUCACAGCAGUUCAUAUACCUCUCCAUCGACCAUUCAGGUUUAAAAAUAUGGAUUUUCACUUUUGCAAGGUUGGGUUUUCUUUUCCCAAUGCACGGUACAUUUGUAGCUGUGUCAUAUCUAUGAAAGCAUUGCAUACACCUGCUGUACACUAACCUUUCUCAGUUUUGCUUCUCACAUUUUACGUUGUGCUUAAGGCGAAUGAGGAUGAUGAAUGGAUUUUAUGGUAUGCUAGAUUUCUUACAUGGGUGGUUGGAAACCUUAUAUUGGUGAUAGUGACCCCCACCCAGGCUGUAAAUAUCUGCGGAAGCUGCAAAUUGGAGUUUGUUUUAUUUCAAUUGCCAUGAGGUGGACGCUGACCCUCCUCCAGCCUGUCAAUCUUCGUAGAUAUUUUUGUUUAACCUGUCCUCAAUCCAGAAGUAAUCUCGUAUAAUAGGAAAAUGUGAUUGUUCAUUCAGGUUAUUUCUUGUUUCAUUUUUGUAGCAUAAACCAGAUGGUAAUUCUUUUUUUUUUUGUGAGUAAUCAUGUGAUUCUAGCUAGGCUCCACCAAUUUCAUGUAUUCCAUAGCCAUGGAUAGUGUAAAGAAGAUCCACACCAAUUUUUGCUUGAAAUUCUUAUAUAUUGUAAUAAUAUGUUGAUUUUGUUCA